GACGAACGCUGGCGGCGUGCUUAACACAUGCAAGUCGAACGGAAAGGCCCUGCUUUUGUGGGGUGCUCGAGUGGCGAACGGGUGAGUAACACGUGAGUAACCUGCCCUUGACUUUGGGAUAACUUCAGGAAACUGGGGCUAAUACCGGAUAGGAGCUCCUGCUGCAUGGUGGGGGUUGGAAAGUUUCGGCGGUUGGGGAUGGACUCGCGGCUUAUCAGCUUGUUGGUGGGGUAGUGGCUUACCAAGGCUUUGACGGGUAGCCGGCCUGAGAGGGUGACCGGCCACAUUGGGACUGAGCUACGGCCCAGACUCCUACGGGAGGCAGCAGUGGGGAAUAUUGCACAAUGGGCGGAAGCCUGAUGCAGCAACGCCGCGUGCGGGAUGACGGCCUUCGGGUUGUAAACCGCUUUCGCCUGUGACGAAGCGUGAGUGACGGUAAUGGGUAAUGAAGCACCGGCUAACUACGUG
rnacentral:rRNA from 1 species